rnacentral:lncRNA from 1 species
GUCUACCUCUGAAUGAAGUCUUUUUAUUAUAGGCAACCCAAUACUCAUUCUUUGAACCAAUUUAUUAGAAGGGUAUAAAUCAACAAGAUUAAAACCAGUAGUCGCUUCAGUUAAUUUCCUUAUAGUUGGCACAAAUACUUCUUCUCCUUUACAUACUUUACCAAAAACCGCUCUCGAAAUAAUACUAAACAUUAAAGUUUCAAUCAUUCGGCUUAGGUUUAUUGCAGAUCCAGCGCUAGAAGCAAUCGAGCUUAUUAAUUUUGAUACUUCUUCUUCUCUUACUGAUCUGAACGACUGCACACGACUAACACUCAAUAACUCUGUCGUGCAAAUCUUUCGUAAUUGUCUCCAAUAGUCUCCAUAUUGAGCAAAAGCUAUGUCUGUUCCAUCAUAAGUUGCUUGAAAAGAAGAAGGGAUAAAAGGUCUAUCAGCAAAAAUUAUAUCAUGGGUUUUCAUAAUUUCUUUUGCAAUUUCUGCAGAAGAAAUUACAAUAUUAGAAUUCUCACCGAGUUGAAUUUGGAAAAUAGGUCCAUAUUUCUUAGCCAAGUUGGUUAAACAGUGAUGGGGUGGCGGACCAAAUAAAUGGUGGAAGCCGCCGAUUAUAGGUAGCUUCGAUGGCCCUGGCGGUAGAUUUAGAUACUUGGGUUUUCUCCAUAAUAACUUAAACAAGAAAAUUAUGAAGAUCAAGAAAGUGAAAACAAGUGGAAAGGAAAGAUGGCUGUCCAUGGCAAAGGAUGAUAAAGGAGAGUGAUAAAAAGAUUUGUUAGGUUUGAUGAUGAGAAUGCAGUUUUAGUCCACUCUAUAUAUACAGAGAGCUGACCGAGUAUGGGGGUUCGUGUACACGUAUGCUGUUAAUGUACAUUAAAUUCCAAGUCGAAGAAUUUUCCUUCAGGAAAGGAAAGUAUGCUGAUUAAACUGGCAGGCAGGAUCUUAAGAACCGAAACUAAUUAUAUCUUAUUAAUUUAACUUUCUUGCUUACACAGUUACACCCGGUGCAGGGGCGGGCGCAGGCCUGGCCGCCUGGGUCCCCAAAAUGAAAAAAAAAAAAAAAAAAAAAAAACAUCUUUUUUAUAAUUUUUAUUUUAUCAUAUACAGUUAAGUAAAAUUAUUUUUUAACCCUUAAAUAUGUUGGUUGGGAUCGCUAGUGACCCGGUGCAUGAAUUUCAUGUACCAUUUUUAUUAUAUUGUUAUAAUUUUGUCAUUUUUUUAUAUUAUCAUAGAAAUACUCUUCCUUUGAACUACAAUAUUAUUUAUAAUUAUUUUGAUAUAGUAUACAUUCCGUGUAAAUAAAUCUUUUUUAUAUAUAUAUAUAUAUAUAUAUAUAUAUAUAUACUUAAAUCUGGCUUCAUUUUAACCGUACCCAGUAAACUUUGGUAAUCCUUUAUUAAUUUUCUAAUAUUUUAUUUGCUGGUCCGUCUUUUCAGUCGCGAAAGACUGCGUCUAUAUUGUAUUAUAUCGUUAGUGUUAGUCUUUGGUCAAUGCUUUAAUUAUAUGGCUGGUCUUACCUCUUUCUUUUUUUUGGGUCUUUUCAUGAAUUCCUAAUUAAAUAGGUAUGGUAGUAGCUUUCAGUCUGAGACUAAGAUAUUUAAAAACAAUAAAAAAAAAUUCGUAAUGUAUAUAUAAAAUAUAAUAUCUGUGUGCGAUUGGAGUAAGAUUUUGAAUAUUUUGCUGGCUUCAACCCUUUAAAGUUUAUAAUAUAAUAAUGCAACUAAAAAAUUUGUUCACAUCAAAUGUCAAAAAUCUUGAUUAUUUAUAUUAUCUUUAUAUCUAUUUAUUAUUACAUAUUACUCCAAUUUUGGGUAGCUAGGCCUAGCUGCCGGCUCCUCGACAGGGACGAAGUUUGGGUUCAGGAUCAGGGAAGGAUGGUUGGGUCAAAUUGCCAGAAGGCCCAUCAAGUUUGAACAUCAUAAAUAACUACUGGGUACACGGCAUUGUAGAUUAACUGAUUGAGACGUAAAUGUCUAAAAUUAUAUGGAUAAAUACGACAUUUUAAUAUUUUAUAAGAAAAGUAUUAUACCUUACGAAUUUUGAAUGAUUGAAAUUAAAAAAGGAUUGUGGUUUCUGAAAAUUUGAAUACCUUACUGUAAUACAUUUUUUUUAUUCCUUAUCAAUCCUCUUCUUAGACUAAUAAAACAAUGGGUGAUUAAUAUAUAAUAUCCUAAAACAAUGGGGUAAUAAUAAUAAGUUUUUAAAGACGUGGUCAGAUUCUAGAAGUUGUUGACUUUUAACUUUUUAAUGAUUCUAGAAGUUUUUUUUUUUUUUUUUAAGCACAAAGGGAGUUGGGUUGAUUUCACAUAAAAUAGUUUCAUAAUUUGUGUUGUAAUUUGAAUAGAUUAAAAAAACAAUACUCUUACAUUAGUAUCUAUAAAAAUAAUACUCACUCCGAUUCCUUCUUUCUUCUUUGAUUUAUUACGAAAUAUAGUUCACUUUUUUCACUAUAAUUAAUCUUUAAAUCAUCUACUAUAUCUUUAUUAAAUUUUUUUUAUUUUCAAUCUCAUUAAUUUUUACUUUAUUUUCUAUUAUAAUAAUUACUCAUGUAUUAUUUAAGAUGGACAUAAUAGAAAAGUUAUAUAAAUAAAAUUAUCUUUUAACCGUAAUACUUCCUCUGUUUCAAAAUAUAAAUCGUUUAAGAUUUUUACAUAAAAAUUAAAAAAGUAAUUAAUUCUCUUAGAUUAUAACAAAAUCAAGGGUAAUUUGACAUUAUCCUUUAUCUCAAAACCAAUAAUUACUUGUGAAAGUAUUUAUUAUAUCUAAUGUAAAUAAGGAUAAUAUUGAAAAACCAUCAUUUAUUACUCUUUAAGCUCCUUAAAACAACUUAAUUUAUGAGAUAAAAUAACUACCAAAAAACGAUUUAUAUUUUAAGACAGAGAUAAUAAUUGUUAUUUCUUAAUCUAUUUGAAAAUAAAAAGUGGAUUAUCUUUUGGAAAGACAGGAGUAUACUCUUAUGUUAGUAUCUAUAAAAAUUAAAUGAUCCAUAAUUAAAUUGUUCUUGAAAUUAAUCAAAUAUUUGGUUAAAUAUAAUUUAUUUCAAGAUUUAAGAUUUGUAUUUUAGUUUUGGUUAUAAUCGAAAUUUAAUUAAUGAUAACAUAUAUAUAGUAAUUUGAUUAUUAUAUUUAUUGACAAAAAGCAUAUUAAAUAAGAGUAAAAUAGUAAAAUUUAAAUAUUAUUCAUUUUCAAAAAGAAAUAUAGCAUAACAAUUUAGAAUAAAAAAAAAGAAAAUAGGAUAAAAAUUAUGAGAAUGAAGGAAUAUUAAUAAUUUAUGUAAAAUAGAUCAUCACUUCAUUAAGGAGAAAUUGAAGUUGCUAUUGCUGAAAAAAAAACAAAUGUCUAAAAGUUUAGUUGUGUUGUCGUGCUCUCUAACUUUCGACUAUUGAGAGCAUUUGCCUAUACGAGAGAUGCUAUUGGACAAUUUCAAAUUUAUUAAUCGAUCAAAUGAUUUCCAUAAGCUUUGGAUAAUUGACCCCAAUACAAAUUGAAGUCUUAUAUUUCUGACUAAUAGAAACAGACUGAUGCCAUUGUAAAAAGUAAUUAAAGUUUUCAAAAAAAAAAAAAAAGUUUAUUUAUUUAUUUAUCUACUGAGAGGUUGAAUCGAUUGAAACGUUUCAAAGCAAUUAAAAUAUGCUUGCACUAAAAAAUAAUAUUAAAAAAACAAAGAAAUAAUUUCCAUCGUUCCUUUUUUUUUUUUUUCUCUCUCUCUCUCUCUCCCUCAAUAUGUUACACAGCAUGGAUCAUCACAUCCACAACAUCAACGACCGCAGCUAGCACACGACAGCAUUGCAGAUAUUUUAUUUUAGUUCAACUAAAACCUGAAACUGUUUGCUUACUAUUUUCUAUUCCUUUUAUUUUUAAUUAUAUUUUGAUUUGAUACUUAAGUUAUUUUCUAAUUUAAAAUUUACAGUAUUGGAUAUGUACGUAACUGGAAUUUUUACUUUCUCAUGUGUAUUCUAAACAUAAAAUUAACUCAUACAAGGAUUUAAAAAAAAAAAAAAAAAAAAGUAACUCAUGUUCAAAACGACAAUAUAAUUUAAUAAUAAUUAUUAUUCGAACGACAUAUAAUACAUAAGCUUAAAAUGCGAACUCACAGCUAAUUUCACAAAUAUAAAGAUUUUACAUAACACGGGAAUGGCAGCAAGGGAUGGGAAUGACAUAGAGGGCAUUGCUUCUUUUUACAGUAACACUUAACGAUUCUGUCAUAUCCAGAUUUUCAGGGUUCACGCCAGAUGGAAGUUUCCAAUCAAAAUGGUAUAAUAAAUGAGCAAGUGGAAGUUCAACGUUAGCCAUGCCAAAUGAUAUUCCAGGACACAUUCUUCUUCCAGCACCAAAUGGGAUAAAUUCAAAAUGUGCACCUUUGUAAUCAAUCGAAUUAUCUAAAAAUCUUUCUGGAUUGAAUUUCUCAGGUUCUCUCCAAUAUUCGGGAUUUCUUCCGAUAGCCCAAGCAUUCACAAUAACUCUAGUCUUUUCAGGUAUAUCGUAUCCGUUAACGAUGCAGUGUUCUCUGCAUUCUCUUGGAACUAAUAAUGGAACAGGAGGAUGUAGUCUCAAAGUUUCUUUUAUAACCAAUUUUAAGUAGUUGAGUUCGUUGAGACUUGCUUCAUCCACGUCCCCUUUUGCUUCAAAGACUAGUCUCACCUCUGCUUGUGCCUUUUCCAUCACUUCUGGAUUUUUCAUCAUUUCUGACAUUGCCCAUUCUAUUGGUGUAGAAGAUGUAUCACUGCCCGCAAUAAACAUGUCCUGAAAUACAUUUCGUAAUUAACUUGAGUAAAUCAAAAAAAUAAGGCUGACCAAAAUGAAAGAGAGCUAAAAUUAGUUUUAACGACAACUAUUAUAUGUACGUGGGAAAACCUAUAAAGAAAAAAGAAAGAGAGCUAACCAAAAUGACGGCUUUGAUGUUCUCCGUGCUCAAAGAGAAGUCGAGGUCUCCUUUCUCCAAAAGAUUCAGAAGGACGUCGACAAGAUCUUCUUCUUCACCUUCUGCAACAAUUUUUCCAGCUUGCUUUCUAGCUCUAUGCUCAUCAACCACGUCUUGGAUUAUCUUGUCUACCUCUGAAUGAAGUCUUUUUAUUAUAGGCAACCCAAUACUCAUUCUUUGAAGCAAUUUAUUAGAAGGGUAUAAAUCAACAAGAUUAAAACCAGUAGUCGCUUCAGUUAAUUUCCUUAUAGUUGGCACAAAUACUUCUUCUCCUUUACAUACUUUACCAAAAACCGCUCUCGAAAUAAUACUAAACAUUAAAGUUUCAAUCAUUCGGCUUAGGUUUAUUGCAGAUCCAGCGCUAGAAGCAAUCGAGCUUAUUAAUUUUGAUACUUCUUCUUCUCUUAUUGAUCUGAACGACUGCACACGAUUAACACUUAGC